GGAACGCCCAAAGCCUGUACACACCCAUAGAUUAGCAGACCCCGGGUGGAUCCACACAUGGCAGCCGCUGAUAACACACACACCAACGAAGACCACGCCUACCGAGGGGAAUAUAACCAGACAGUCUGAUCAACUCAGCAGCGCAUAGCUCUCCUGUCGCCAGAGCGUGAGGACCUGUGUGUGCUCACAUUUCGGUUCCCAGCAUGAAACUCGGCCCAAUUAACUGUCUAUUGAAGAAAGUGCCAGCAGCCAACGGCAUCGUCUACCCCUUUGUGUGUAUCAGUGAGCAUCGCCGGGUGGAUCAUUCCCAGUGCCUGAGGCCCAUCAGGAACUGCUAAAUUAUGACUACAGUGGAUGGAAGAAGACCAUGAAUCCAGGCAUUGCAAAGAAGAUAAAUACGCAUGUCAAAAAAAGGAGAGCUCAGCCAAAGAGAAUAAUGAUAGAGAAGAAACUCAUAAAAUGUUCUUACUGA